rnacentral:rRNA from 1 species
UACGUAGGGUGCAAGCGUUGUCCGGAUUUAUUGGGCGUAAAGAGCUCGUAGGCGGUUUUGAAAGUCGGGUGUGAAACCUCCAGCUCAACCUGGAGACGCCACUCGAUACUUCAAUGACUUGAGUUCGGUAGGGGUAAGCGGAAUUCCUGGUGUAGCGGUGAAAUGACGCAGAUAUCAGGAGGAACACCGGUGGCGAAGGCGGUUCUCUGGGCAUUACCUGACGCUGGAGGAGCGAAAGUGUGGGGGAGCGAAACAGGG